GGUCCUGCCCGCGCGCCCGGGCUGGGCUGCGCCCGGGAGGCUGAGCUGCCCUGCGGGAGAGCCCCGCGGUGAAUGUCAGGCCGCGUGAAACGACGGCUCCUGACCGAGGUCGGCAGGGCUGGGGCGUGGGGCGCCGGCGGAGCCGCGGCAAGACCCGCCCUGAGUGCAGCCAGCUCGCUGCCUGUUCCCUGCUGUCGUGCUCAAUCUGGAGCCAGGGCUUGUAGGGCGUGACAUCUGUGGCAGAGGUGAUCCGAAAGCUGGGGAAGAGAUCGGCGUUUGGAUCAUGUCCUGGAGGCCAGGCUGGUGUUGCAACUACAAUGCCCGCAGGCGGUGGUGGGUGCUCCCGCUCCUUGGCACGUUCACCGUGAGUGACACCAGCAGCCUGCAUGGCUCCUGCCUCUGUCCAUACACAGCAUGCCCUGCUCUCCUGCCCUGCGUCACUGACUCUCUGACUUGUCACCUGGGAUGACCCUUCACAAGAGCUGUCUCAAUUGUGUGUCUUACCUUGCUGAAGGACUCUGCUUCGUUUGUGAUGGAGCUCCAAUGCCUAAAGCAAAAACCUUAGGGGACCAGCUUCAGAUCCCACCAGGUGCUCUUCCCAAAGAUGAAGAGCAGAACGCACCAAUGAUCAUCACCUUUCUGAAAGCACAGUGCUAUCUGUUUAGAACAAAAUAUUAUGGAAAAAAACAUGCUUAAUAAGCCAAGAAAUUACUCGCACACCUGCUAAGUGUUGCCUGUCUUCCUUGUGCCCUGGCAAAAAUGAUAACUGAAUUCUGCCAGCUCUUUAAUUCAGAGAGAGCAUCUGUGUGUCAGAUGAGGCUGUCUCUCUGCCCCAGAAGACAAAGCAGAGUGCCAGCAUAACAGGCAUGGAGGACUUGACUAUGUGCAGGUCCCACAGAAACACUCUCAUUCAGUCUGGAGGACAAGUACAUAAGGAACAUGUGCUGCCACGCAGUCUGUCCAGACCAUCCUUUCCAUGCUGUGGGCCAGCGGCCAGUUCUCGAACAUCUCUCUGAAUUUGGAUAUGCUGCUGCCUGUAACCUGAGUACCAGUCAUGCUGCUCUAUGAAGUCAAGUGCCUGCCACCUUCUUGCAUGUGGGGUCAGCAAGAACUUGCAUGAUGGGACAGCUGAGAGUACUCACAAUUAAUCAGUAGCUGUUGGACUUUUGGUACGGCCAGGAAUUGGCACUGUCUUCCUACGCUCGACCACACACAAGAUCAAAACACGAGAAGCAUCUACCUGGACCAGAGCUGUUGUGUGUGUUGGCUGUGACCUGUCCCGGGUAGUCCUGGUGCAUUCCAUGCUUCAUAACCUAAGUGGCAGUUCACUGUAGUAGCAUUUGAAAGCUUGGUGUUAUCACUUCCAUCAUGGGGAUAUCAUGACUCUCAAAUACUUAAAAACUAUGAAAGAUAAUGAAGAUAAAAUUAUUUCAACAGUAAACCUCCUUCAGUUUAGGAGUUAGGAUGUUUUCAAGCCCUCUAUAAUGAAAGGUCAGAAAGUGUAGCUGUAGCCCAUGUGAGAAUGGAAUUUUUCUAGUAAAACAGAACAAUUGUCUUUUUCAGAGAAGGUGUAAUGUUUAUGGUCAGAUACCAGACUGUCAAUGACUCUGGUUGCAGCCUCUUUGAAGUCUGGGCUUGGCUUAAAAAGAAAAAACACCUAUAUGUGUGUCUUAAUUUUGGGGGGGAGCAUAAGCUUCGUUUCUGCCUCAUGUGAAAAAACUGGGCCAUGUGGCAGAAUGGUUGUGCUGUCCUGCACUAAGAUGGAACGAGAAGGUUUGUGAGGGCAGAUUGCAUCGAGUCACAGGCUGUGGUGGUAACAGAAGGCAGGUAGGAGGAACACCAGUGGUCAGGCUUCAGGCAUUUGGCUGCCUGGCCAAGGUUGCUGUUUUAGUAGCUGCAAAGAGAGAGGCUGAUCAACAGGGUGAGUCAGAUCAUCAGCAUAAAUUAGGGUGAAUUCCCUGUGGCUGCACUGUGCAAGGGGGUGUGUUUCGGAGAAGUUGACUCCAGGCACGUACAAAGACUGGGAGCCUCUGGGCUGCUCCACCUCUACUGCUCAUGAUUUAUGUCACUGUCAGUGCAGAGAGUUUUGGACCAUGUGGCUGUACCAGCUGGGCUCACUGUGACGGCUGGCGUUUCUGCCCUAGCUUUGUGUCACCUAGAUGUGCUUGUACCUGGAGGCACUGACUUCACCUCCCUUCUCCAUGCAGAAACAAGAAGUUGCUACCCACAGGCUUUUCUGCCCUGGGCUUAAUAAGGCAUGGAUGCAUUUUGCAUGAAAUGGUGGCUGUGCUGCCGUGCUGUGCCUGAAUGCCUAAGCAAGCAGGGCUCCUGCAGCCCUGGACAGACAGUCCAUUAACCAGUUACAGCUUCCCUGCUCCCAGUGCAAUGUCAGGUGGCCAUUGACAGCCUUUUGGUUGAAUGCACAGUAAGGAAGGAUAACUCAACAGCUUUGCUAGGUGCAGGGAAGGUGUUCCUGAUGCACAUCCUUGUCAUGUAAGCUGUGCGUGGGAAGUGUUGACAGUGCAGUUCUGUGGUCCAUGCUCCUAAUUGGGAGGCAACAGGAAAGUGACUCAUGUGACACUGCAUCCCCAUCUGCACAGGGAACACAGUGACCCGAGAGACAUGUGCUGGACCGCACAGUAGCUGAGCGAUUGACAGCAAAAUGAUGUAAACUGGCAGUGACCAAGGUCUUGGCUAGUUCGUAUCACUAGGCAUUUGAGCUCUGCUUAUGAGUUCCUCAGUUAUCCAUGACCUGUAAGUACAGCAAAUACAGUUCUGUUCCCUCAAGAGCUGUCAUGUUGCCAAUGUUUUAAAUCCUCUGACCAAAACCAGCAUCCAGUAUUGGCAGAACAAGGUAUUUACUGUUAGUCUGUUUGCAUGUCUGCUUGGAUAACUGUGUGUGUAGCUGCAGUGGCAUAUGCUGAACUUUUUCCUGCACUCACUGACCAUGUGCUGACAUUGCUUCUCUCGUGGCUGACUUUGGCCUAUCAACAUUCCCAAUGAGAUUGUUUAUCUUCAUCUGCUCUGGUUCUCCUAUUGAUCCUGACCUGGCACUAACCUUUUCCAGCUCUGCCGUAACAACUCUCUGUUGCAGGUAAAUUCUUCUCAUGGUCCUAACCUUGUCUUAUCUCAGCCCCUGCUACAUACUGAGCUUUUUGGAACUUACCUAAGAGCAAAAGCUAAGCUUAUGCUGAAUUAAUUAUCUUCAUCUAUUUAUACCAAGGCCAGAGUUUUCCUUGUUGCUCAUCCCCAUCUAUUGUCAGCUCUCAGCAGCUAUUUGGCAGUUUGAUGUGCUGUGGUAUCUUCUCAGUGCCAAAUACCCUGCCUAGUUAUGUCUGUCUGUGUGUGGUGACAGCAACAAUGUCACCAGAUCAGAAGGUAAGUGCAGUUUAUCUGCCUUGGCUUGAGUGGGUGCAGUGACAUAGACAUCUGGGCCUAUUGGGCUUUUGAAAAACAAAGGGACUUUUUUGAGGAGAGAUGGAGAAGAGGGAGAAGUGAGGCUGCUGUGGCUUACAUGCUUUUUUAUAAGUAAUCUUCUUAAAUUAAUCCUAUCUGAAUUCUAUCACCUGUAUUGCCUGUAUGUCAUUUGCAGCACUCAUUCCCCAGAGCUACCCAGCCAGUCAUAACAAUACAAGGUGAAGUGGGAUCUAGUUUGAAUGAAUCUGGAUCCUCAUUUUACCAGGGCACCCUCCCUGUUCAUGGCUAGUGUGAGGUCUGGCAGUGAGCUGUACAGUGCUGACUAUGGGGAAUCUUCUCUUGAGGCAGACUAAAGCUGCAGGCACUCUGGUUGCACUCUGGAGGCUGAUGACUGAUGUGUCAGUGGAAUAUCACAAUCAUAGCCUGAGUGACUGGUAUGUGAUGUAAUGAUUCCUCUGGAAUGCUGUACACAAGCAGAGGCAUCGUCACCACCUGUUUACUAACUCUGGUGUUACACAUAGCCUGAGGUUACAGCAGGCUAAGGAGAGCACAGCCAGAUUUUUGUGAGGUGGGAGCAAACAGUAGGCUGGUGCCAGAACAACAGCUGACAAUGUCGGGUUUUUAAAUAGGUAUCUUCCCCUUUCCAUUUCAAAGAAAAACCUUUAAAUGUUCCCUUGACGGUAUCCUUAGUAUAAGAUUUCACAACUCUCAACUAACAUUUGUAUUUCAACCCCUCAAAGAUGUGGGAACCCCACCUUGGUACAGAUUUCACUGUUGAGGAAAGAAUCUCUGUCCUGUUACCUGCGUAUUGGAUAGAAACCAGUUCCUUGAGUCCAUCUUUCCUGUGAGAAAAUAAAUACUCUUAUCCCAGAGCUCCCAGACAAUUAUAACAAAGUGGUUGUGCAGCUGAUAGUGUUCCAGCUUCUAAUGAAUAUGAAAUUGCUCUCGGCAGUGCUGGGAAUGCACAGCCCCUUCUUAAUCUUGUGGGGUACACAUACAUGUCAUCUUGCAGUAUAGUGGGGGCUUUCCAAAAUAUUUAGUCUUCUCUAUUACUACUCCCAUUUUAGGAAAUCUGAGCCAUCUAAGAUAGGAAGGCUGUUGCUUAAUAGCCCUUUAAGAGGCUAAUGGUUCUUUAGGAUAAUGAUUUUCUCUUUUUUAAAAUCACCUUCUAAUCCCAUAGCCCUUGGUUACAACCUGCCAAGACCUCAGCCUCUGGCAGCAGGUAGCUUGCAAUGUCAGCUGGAGUGCCUGGGCACUGUCUGGGUCAGAGAGGCCUAAUGUGGAGGCAGAUGCAGGGAGAAAGGACAGCCGUGUUCUGCUCUCUAGGAUCUUAGUUGGCAGACGCUUAUUCCUAAAGUCUGCCGCUGCAGGCUAAUGCCAACAUUUUAGCUUUAUUCCAUAUUUCACUGCUUCAAACAGGAAAGGGCAGUCACCAUGCUGCCCAUUUGUGGGCUGACCAUCUGCACUUGUAAUGUUAUGCUUUAAAGCUUACACAAGAAAAUAAGGAUCUUAGCAAAGCAAGAAUUGAUCAAAAUUAUCAGAAGUUCCUGGGCAAAGACUGCUAAGAACAUGUUCAAAUCACUUGAUGCUGAAUUUAAUCUUGUGCCUAAGAUCAGUAAUGAUUCCUUUAAUUUGAGUGUGAGUCUAUGCAUAACUGAUGCCUUGAGAGUCAGAGGUAUGAAGGAUCCAUUCAAAUCUGCCAGUGUCUUUUCUCUCCGAUUCUGGAGAUGAUUGAGGUGAUCAAACUGUUGUCCAGGGACUGUUUGAUGCUGCAGCUCUACUUGAAUCAUUGAUCACCUAUUCCCCUCCUAUCCUGCACUUCAGGCACACUCACCUCCAAGCAGUCCUUUUUCCCCUUAGCUGCCUCAUUCAACUGGCUUUCCAAGUUUGCACUGCUGCGUAAUGCAAAGCAGCAUAGCAGAGCCCUGGGCUUUCUGCACUUGGAUUUCCAUGUGUGAGCAGACGAAGGGGAGUGGAGCAGACAGCUGUCGCAUGGCACAGGCUUGGCUAUGAACGAGUGAUUGUGGAUGGAUACAGGGGUUGGCAGGUUAAGUGCAACACCAGCAAGGAUUCUUCACCAAAGUGGUGAUGAAUGUAGCUGAAGAGGGCUCUCUUCAUCUAAUGCAAAGUCUAUGUGCCGCAUUUCUUGCAAUCAAGCAGUACGAGAAAGCAAAUCUAAGCCAAGAACUGUCUCUUCUCUUCAAGCCCGGGUGACUUGGUGUAAGUUGAAUGCAAAGUUCUGCCAUUUGUCUUCUUUCAAGCAUCAGAAGGUGUGAGGUCUUCUAGUUCUGUCAUGGUAAUGAGCUCUGCACCAAAGAAGAGUCAAAAAUAGACUAAAUGGAAUCCUUUGUGAAACUUUUAGCCUAAGAAAUAACCCCUGUGUCAAACUUUAGCCACUUUCCUGUAACAGAUGUUGCCUAUUUUCUUUGAGCUAUUUUUGGCUGUUCUUUAUAUAUGUAUUUGGUAGAGGAAGAUUCUGAGAGCAAAUAAAAAGGAAUUUCAAGAUAC